rnacentral:lncRNA from 1 species
UGAAACGCGACAUAUAUAAACAUGUAUAGAUUCUUCAAAACUUAGCGAGUAAAUUUACGUUUAUUGAGUGUUUAGAGACCAAUUUGGUAAUAUUCAAAAUUUUAAAGUCAUGUUUCAUGUUUGAUACCCAAAAAACGAUUUACAAUGUGAACAUGGAUUGUUAGGUCUAUUCCUACCAUAUCCUAUGACAUUUCAAACUUUAUACUUCUUCUUUAGGUGAAUCUGAACCAAAAUUAGUAUUUACAUUUUAUGUGGUUUAUAUUUAAACCACAACGAAGAAGGUUAGAAAUAAAAAUAAAAAUUGAUAACCAAUUUAAUAUGCGAAUCAUCUAAAGUUAAUGAAUAGUGGAGAACAUAAUAUACCAACCAUAAUCAAAUUGAUUCUUUAACAAUUUUUGAUUUACUGACUUUUUCUUAUUAUUAUCAUGUGCUCAUAUUAACGUUAUAAAUUUAAGACCCGUAUACCAAAAACGGAUGAUUAAAACAUAAUGUUAAAUACGAAGGAUUAAUCGGAAAAUUUAGUUGAAUUUGAAAUUUAAAUAAAGUGAAAAUUAGGUGAAAAUAAUAAUAUAGAAAUAAAUAUACAUUAAAAAAAUCAAUAAACUAAAAUUACAUAUUUGGUUCUCAGACUCGUGUUCUAAACGGGUUAAUGAUAAAAAAAUGUUAACAAAAAAAGUUUAAACUGCAAUUUAUUAGAAACUAAAAUUGAAAAUUGAAAUUAAUAAAUUUAUGGUAUAUUAAAAUUCAUAGAAACUAAAUUCAUGAUGAAAUCUAAAGUUAAAAGCAUCGCCGGUAAUGUCUUCAUUUAUUGUAGUGAUAUGUCACUGAAUUAUGAGAUGCAUAUUAGUUUCCAUAUCAAAAUCUACAUAUUAAUAUAUUAUCCCUAGUAUCCAAUAAAAUCAAAAAUUUUAAUUUAUGGCCUUAAUAUUAUAACUUAACUAAUGUAUGAAUUGCAUUUUCAUUAUCAUUUAAAAAGUUUACAUUAGUGGAGCUUUUAUGCCAAUAAAAACGCAAAGCUUAAAUCUAUAAUAAUUUAGUGAUAGAAAGUGAUAUGUUAUUUUACAAGCUUAAAUCUAUAAUAAUUUAGUCAUAGAAAGUGAUAUGUUAUUUUACUCUGCUGCUAUUAGACUAUACAAAUUGCUCUUCUAACACCAUCAGACCUCCAUGAUAGUACCUUUCACCAACCCAAACACUUGAGGGCAUGAAAUCACCUCCAUCUUAGUACCUUACAUCGACCAAUACACUUGAGGGAAUGGAAUCAGUACAAUGAAUUUAAGUAGUUAUAUUCAUUUCAAAUAUAAUACAUUUACAUUUUAUAGAAUUUUGAUGAUGUUAAAUUUGUCUGUGUUUGAAUACAGUUUUCGAGAAAUACUAAAUUGUGGUUUGGGCGAAAGUUCAAUCUUUAGUAUAGACAUAAAUACCCAAAACAGGCUCNGACAAUUCGAUUGACGACACUACUUAAACGACGUGAUUACAACAUAACUUCUCUUUGUAUGAUUUUUAGAAAUUUUUAUUCAUGUGUAUUCAUGUAAAAACAAAUUAUAUGUUUUAACACAUAAGACUCAAAUUUAAUUCGUGUGAAACGCGACACAUAUAAACAUGUAUAGAUUCUUCAAAACUUAGCGGGUAAACUUUAUAUUUAUUGAGUGUUUAAAGACCAAUUUAGUAAUAUACGAAAUUUUAAAGUCAUGUUUCAUGUUUGAUACUCAAAAAACGACUUACAAUGUGAACAUGGAUUGUUAGGUCUAUUCCUACAAUAUCCUAUGACAUUUCAAACUUUAUACUUCUUCUUUAGGUGAAUCUGAACCAAAAUUAGUAUUUACAUUUUAUGUGGUUUAUAUUUAAACCACAACGAAGAAG